AAGAUGGGGAAGAAAGGAGAGUAUAUGUGUUUACUUGGAUUUUUUUUUUAAAAUAACCAUAAUUUUCAAAAUAAAUUUUAAAAUAACCAUUUUUUUGUUUUUUUUCCAAAAUAAUUACCUUUUAAAACAGAUGCGCCAAAUGAACUGGCGCAUCCAUUUUUCAUCAUGAGGAGGGGCUAAGGCCUAUGGCGCCUGCAUUGGAAGCCUCGUGAGCAGACAC
rnacentral:lncRNA from 1 species